GUGAGGGUGAGUGACUCAGCCAUGCUCGCGAGCUCCUCUGUGAGCUGGUCUCUCUCUCUCUCUCUUUUUUUUCCUGGCUGUUUCCAGUAGCCGCUUCCGGCACCCCAAGCUUCUGCUUCCCAUGACCACUGGCACUUCUGGGAAUAAACCCUGUUGUUUUGUGCCUCAGGAGCUGUGCUGUUCCGCUCCAGUAGCCGCGAGCCACGUGUGCAUAUUCAAGUUUCCGUUAGAAUGACUCAAAAUGAAAUAAAACUUAAAAUCCUGUUUCUCAGUUGCACCAGCCACAUUUCAAGUGCUCAUUAGGAAUCGACUACCGUCUUGGACAGUGCAGAUACAGAGCAUUAUCAUCGUCACAGAAAGUCCUGGUGGACAGCGCUGCUCUGGGGUUUUGCUGAAAUCGACACUCUCUUCUGCGGAGGAAAUCUCACACCUUGCCUGCAAGCAGCCAUCCUUCUUUUUAGAGACCAUGAGGCCCCCCGCUCUGCCUAUGGAAAAUGGAACACGGUAUAAAUAAGAUAAAUGGAUUAGGUCAGCUGACUGCAACCGAAGCCACGGCCGACCCAUGGGCACCGGGCGCACCAACUACAGAGGAGGUUUGUCAAUCAGGCAAUUUAUUCUGAUCCUGGAAGUGGAGAAGCCGGUUGAGCACGCACGCACGCACGCACGCACGCACGCAGACUCGCCGACCACCCCUGCGGGGAAAUAGGCCAUCAGCCAGUCCCCGCACGGGGCCCCCCGUGGAGGUGAGGGGAAGCUCGGGGACAGCGCCUGGCCUCAGGGACCAUCGUGAGAAACAAGCUGUAUCCCUGGAACUAGAAGGAUGCCUGGCACAUAGCAGGUGCUCAAGAAAUCGUUAUUGGAUGUGCCGAUGAAGGUACGAGAUAGAGCCAGUAAACUGCAAAUGGGGGAUCGGAA